rnacentral:rRNA from 1 species
GGCUAGUAUGAAUGGUUUGACGAGAGCUGUGCUGUCUCUUUUGGAAUACUUAAAAAUUAACUUUUAGGUGAAGAGGCCUAAAUUUAUUUAAGGGACAAGAAGACCCUGUUGAGCUUUAGUGAAACUUGUGAGUAUAUCACCAGUGGGGUGACUCAAUGUUGGUUGUUAUGUAUUUUGCAUACAAUAAGAGCUCGCGGUUAAUCUUUAGUUGGGGCGACUGAGGAACAAAAAAAGCUUCCUUAAAUUAAAAGACUUUAUUUUAAGUGAAACGAUAAAAGUGUAAUGCUUUUGUGUUAUUUAGAUCCAAUUUAUUUUGAUUAAAGGAAAAAGUUACCACAGGGAUAACAGCGUAAUCUUUCUGGAGAGAUCUUAUCGAAAGAAGGGUUUGCGACCUCGAUGUUGGACUAAGAUAUCCUAAGGGUGCAGAAGCUCUUAAAGGUUGGUCUGUUCGACCAUUAAAAUCUU